rnacentral:rRNA from 1 species
CCCUUAGAUGUUCUGGGCCGCACGCGCGCUACACUGACGAAGUCAGCGAGCAUGUCCUACGCCGACAGGUGCGGGGAAUCUUGUCAAACUUCGUCGUGAUGGGGAUUGAUUUUUGAAAUUCUUGAUCAUAAACGAGGAAUUCCUAGUAAGCGCAAGUCAGCAGCUUGCGUUGAUUACGUCCCUGCCCUUUGUACACACCGCCCGUCGCUACUACCGAUUGAAUGGUUUAGUGAGAUCUUCGGAUUGGCGCCACUGCAGCUCAGCAAUGGGCUUGGUGGAUGCCGAAAAGUUGAUCAAACUUGAUCAUUUAGAGGAAGGAGAAGUCGUAACA